rnacentral:pre_miRNA from 1 species
UCAAAACAAUUGUGAUGAUGAUGAUGAUGAUGAUGAUGAUGAUCAUCAUCAUCAUCAUCAUCAUCAUCAUCAUCAUCAUCAUAAUGG